CUGCAUAAAGAAAAAGAAACCUUCCAGAAUAAACCAUCAGCAGCGACUGUACGUGCACGAUAAAUUCAGUGCUAAAACUUUAUCAAAAGAGUUGUAAAUCUUUCUUGAACUAUUGUCAAUUUAUUCAACACUACUACUGGUUAAUCCGGUGAGCAAAUUCCACUAUCAGUGACCCGUUGAUCGGCAUGAAAAGCGGAUUUUCUGAGCUAGACUAUCAUCUACAUAAUCCAAAAAUUUCGGACAAGAUGGCGGCCGAGGAGUUUGAUGUCGAAGAGCUUCUCGAGGCACCGUACAGAAAGGAGGUGAGUAAUCCCAGCGAUCGGAAAUGGGUGAUGAGGGUUGUCAUGGUACGAUUUCUGUUUAAAUGUUCAGUAUUUGAAUUGCGCUGAUUUGUUUCUAUGGUCAGUUUUUAGGUGCGCAAAAUAUAUGCUUGCUGCACAAAGUAGAACCAUUAUUCGUUUUGCAUUUUUUUUUUUUGUCAUGUGAACUGUACUUCCGCAAUUCAAAGAAGGUCACUUCGAGAAGGAGCAAAACAGAAAAUCAUCACGAGUCGGCUAAUAUGCUAAUCGUUUUCAGGUUUGACCAUAGAGAUUAAUUUAGGAUAAUUUGCUGUUACGUAAAAGCUAGACUAGAGGUAACGGCGACAAACAAAAAAAAAUCAAGUUGGCGAUUUGUCUGCCGGAAAUGAAACGCUUGUCUUGUUUUCCAUUAGUUUUGUUACUGUUCUGAAUCAAGCCACAGUUAGGCUGGCAGAGAUAGCAAAUUAUCUUGAUUGUCUGGUCAACCAGCAGAUUGAAAUCAAACUCACGAAUCUGAUGUAGCGCUUUGCUCUAGAAUCUACACUUAUUGGUUCGAUGAAUGUAUUUGAGAUAUAAACAGUGUUAUCCUAUUUUAGAUCGUGUCGAUGGGAUCCAAACGAAGCCUAGGCACUGCUAAAAUCUUUCCAAAGGCAAGUUGAAACAGUUUCUUUUUGACUUUUCUUCGUAUUACAUUGUUCAUCACAAUGUAGCACAAUAAAAUUGUAUGUCCUUUCCCAUGUGUAAUGGAAGCCGUUUCUCUAAUUGACGCGCGAGUUGUUGCACUUGUAAUAAUCAAGCAAAUGUCUCCUUAUUUGUCCAGGUGUCGAUAGUAAAAUGCAAAAACAAUAGGCACAUUUGCACCCAACAGAACAGCUUCUUUCUGUAAAAAAAAAUCACAUCCAGAAAAGAUCUACUAAUGCGGGUGUCAACACGAUUUUUAGAUCGAAGAAGUGCUCGUCUUUUACCCCACUGGAAACUGCCGUGCACGAGAGGCACAGAUAGAUAAAAGCCGAGUAUGCCGAAAAAGAGCAAAGUAAUGACCAACCUAAAUAUGCCACCGGAUUUGAGUCUUGUAUACGGUUCUGAACGGUGAUGAAUGGGUUACCGGUUACCGAGAAUGGCCGAUUCAAGCAUGGUUGCAUCUUUCGUUUUAGAUCCCUCCACAUCCGAUCCGGUUUGGUGUCGACGAUCAUCGUUUUACAUCAUUGUCCAAAACAAAGAACCACUCAGCUCUCUUUGCAGGUUGUUACACCAUCGGUCGUUUGCUGCCUCUUAUCUUCCCUCGUCUUAAUUUCGAACGUGUGUGCGUGUGUUUUUUUUUGUAAGGUCAUAAUGAUUGCUUUUUUGGGUCUCUUCUAGGUGCCAAUGGCCAAUCAGCAAAGCCAGUUCGUCAUCGUCGCCUUUCUCUUGGGUUUAUUAGUUUUUAUACACAAAAUAGCAUCCAUACUUGAAUUGGCUCGAAUAAAACCGGGCCCUUCUAUUCGUUGUUAGGUUUGCGACCAACCUUCUUUUUGGGUCAUGAUUGCAGCAUAGUUUCAUCUAUUGUGUGGGAUAGAGUGACGGCACCAGCCGUCUCACAGGUCACUUAAAUAGUAAUACCGGUCUUUUUAUUUGUAUUACGUUACCAGUCGGUACAUGCCGAAGAUUGCACAUGAGAAUGACUUUUGAGACGGAACAAGAAUUGCUUAUCCCAACGGUAACGGAAGCCAACGGCUGCAUUGUGACCUGAGAAGAAACUAGGAAGCAAACCUUAUUCUACACUCAUCAAACUCUAGCUAUGAAACGUUUUCAAAGGCAAUGUUUUCCCUUACAGAUCGCUUGCUUAAAAAGCAUUCAUUUUGUGAGCAUAUUCCAAGCCGAAAGCGUUCAAUAGAAUCGGUAACUGGCUGCAACAAGGUAGAAUACUUGAAUUUCGGACAUUAACAACUGUAGGAUUCUAAUUGUAAACAAAACAAAAAAAAACUAUGUUAACCAAUCGAGUGUAUUAGUCAGAAACCAGAAUCCUCUUCUCAAGCGUAUUAUUUUUGCAGACAGUGCGAACUCUGUGUGCCACACUUGUUUUCCUUCGCCCACGGUGUGGGUUGUAUGCGUGUACAAAUGCUUAAAGCACCUCGAUGUAGUAUCGUGGUCAAUCAGUUGUACGGAGUUGUAUGAGGUACCGAAUGAUGACAGUACGAUAUGAACGGUAAGUUGAAGCUAUGGAACGUAUGCAAUUAACAGUAUUCACGUGAACACUGCUGCUGUGUUUGACUCCAAUCCGUGGAGUCUGGCGCCGAUUGUAGGUACCUAACUAGGCGUGGGAAUGAGGAUAAAUAAAAACAAAAAGCAUUCACCGUUUCCUGAGCAGAACCAGAAGCUGCCAUCGACGAUUUUGUACCGUCAAAUAUAGAUGCAAUUCAUUCGCAUAUAAGCAGCCCACCAACCUGGCUAAUCACAGUUUCAUUAAUUGCUCUUGAAUCUUUCUUUCUUUUUUUCCAUUCUUUAUUAUUUUUCUCGCACGAAAUCUGUUACCUCUUCGUAAACAACAAUCGUGUGCGGGUCCUGCGCCGCUCUUCGUCAAACCGACAUUUCUCUGGCGUCAAUUCUACAAAACCGUUCCUGAUCAAUUUCUACGCGUGAAUGCUUGCUUGAAAUCCUUGAAUAAAAUUCUAAUACAAAUCGCACCUCAAACCCCAAAAACCGAAUAUGAUAUGUAUGUUUAUGUGUGCCCGCUAGGAUGACGGUUCACCGCCAAACUAUAAGGGAUCUAACGGCGAAAGAAGAGACCGGGAUGGAGGUCGCAGCAAAUCCUCCAGACAUCGUAGUCGUUCACGGGAGCGAGAUCGUGACGGAGGUAAGAGCCGCAAAGAACGGUCACGUUCCCGGGAGAGACGUGACAAAGACAAAGGUAGAGAUAAGGAACGUGAC